CUCAGUCUUUAGAAGCACUAUACUGAUUAUCUAAAACAUAAAAUAUAUCGUAUUAAUUAUUUUGUAACUAUAAAAUAUGAAUAUAAUAUUUAUAAAAGGGUUUGAAUUUAUCAAUAAGGAGAUUAAGCAGUUUUGUUGCCGAUCGGUUAAGUAUAUGUCUGCCAUGUAGGCAAAACAACUCUUUGCACUUACAGGCGCCGAAAUUGGAAUCUGAAGAAACAGAGUCCUGUCUUGUCAGUGCAAAGGACUUCAUUUUUAUCAGACAUCUAGGAGAAGGCGGAUUUGCUGUGGUAUACCUUGUUCUUAAGAGAGGCGGCAUUGACGAUGGCACACUUUAUGCAAUGAAAGUAAUGCAGAAGAGUAACA